ACCUCUUUUGCACCAGGGGGUUGAUAAAGAGAGGAAAAGCUGCCAAGAGAUGUGCUUGAGUAGGAGGAGACUGCCCUGGCAACAGCCAAAUCCAGCCUAGGACAGCUCUCUCUCAAAAGCGCAGGAGCUCAGCUGGUGGCCAUGAGAACCCAAGGUAAAAGGGGUUGAAUGCAACUUCCUUGUUACUACAGAGUUGUGGUCAAGUCCCAAGGAAUAUGACAAACCUGGAGUCGUACCUGAGGAGGUAACUGCUGCUGGCUAACAGGGCAGAGGUGUGUCACCAUGGAAGACGCAAGCCCGUCUAGCAGUGUCGACGUGGACAAAGGCUUUGCCAUUGCGUUUGUUGUCCUUCUGUUUCUAUUUCUGAUAGUGAUGAU